rnacentral:rRNA from 1 species
AGAGUUUGAUCCUGGCUCAGGACGAACGCUGGCGGCGUGCUUAACACAUGCAAGUCGAACGGUAAGGCCCUUCGGGGUACACGAGUGGCGAACGGGUGAGUAACACGUGGGUAAUCUGCCCUGCACAUCGGGAUAAGCCUGGGAAACUGGGUCUAAUACCGAAUAGGACCACAGGACACAUGUCCUGUGGUGGAAAGCUUUUGCGGUGUGGGAUGGGCCCGCGGCCUAUCAGCUUGUUGGUGGGGUGAUGGCCUACCAAGGCGACGACGGGUAGCCGGCCUGAGAGGGUGUCCGGCCACACUGGGACUGAGAUACGGCCCAGACUCCUACGGGAGGCAGCAGUGGGGAAUAUUGCACAAUGGGCGAAAGCCUGAUGCAGCGACGCCGCGUGGGGGAUGACGGCCUUCGGGUUGUAAACCUCUUUCACCAUCGACGAAGGUCCGGGUUUUCUCGGGCUGACGGUAGGUGGAGAAGAAGCACCGGCCAACUACGUGCCAGCAGCCGCGGUAAUACGUAGGGUGCGAGCGUUGUCCGGAAUUACUGGGCGUAAAGAGCUCGUAGGUGGUUUGUCGCGUUGUUCGUGAAAUCUCACGGCUUAACUGUGAGCGUGCGGGCGAUACGGGCAGACUUGAGUACUGCAGGGGAGACUGGAAUUCCCGGUGUAGCGGUGGAAUGCGCAGAUAUCAGGAGGAACACCGGUGGCGAAGGCGGGUCUCUGGGCAGUAACUGACGCUGAGGAGCGAAAGCGUGGGGAGCGAACAGGAUUAGAUACCCUGGUAGUCC